AAAGUUGCCUCGGUAAAUGAGGGUAAACAGUGACUGGUGCAGAGUAAACCUCAUCCACUUGUUCACUGACUUUGCCUCCUCUACAUAAAAAUUGUGUGAAUGCUUUCUAUUGUUUUCGAAAUUUUAGGCGUCUAUAAAUUGAGUGUAAAUUAUCAGAAAAUCAUGUUUGCUAACAUUAAAAUUGUAUGGCAAAAAUAAUUUACCGUCUAAUAAAAUUGUUAGUUAGCUAUCUAAAAUAAUUUAUGCCUCAAAGUCAUAACAUUAAACUUAAAAUUCAAACCCUAAACCUUUACCAAAUCUUGAUAAAAAAAAACCUUUACCAAAUCAUAAACCCUAAUCAUUAAACCCAAAAUCGUAAACUAUAAACCUUAACCAGAUCAUAAACCCUAAACUCUAACCCAAAACAAAAUAUACUAAACCGUAAAAUCCAAACUCCAAAUCAAUAUCAUAAGCCUUAAAUCCAAUAGCAACACCUAACCCUUGACAC
rnacentral:lncRNA from 1 species